CAGUCGCCGCGGUAAUACGAAGGGGGCUAGCGUUGCUCGGAAUUACUGGGCGUAAAGGGAGCGUAGGCGGAUGAAUUAGUCAGGGGUGAAAUCCCGGGGCUCAACCUCGGAACUGCCUUUGAUACUGUUCAUCUUGAGUAUGGGAGAGGUGUGUGGAGCUCCGAGUGUAGAGGUGAAAUUCGUAGAUAUUCGGAAGAACACCAGUGGCGAAGGCGACACACUGGCCCAUUACUGACGCUGAGGCUCGAAAGCGUGGGGAGCAAACAGGAUUAGAGACCCGCGUAGUCCCUGUCUCUUAUAC
rnacentral:rRNA from 1 species